UGGGGAAUAUUGGACAAUGGGCGCAAGCCUGAUCCAGCCAUGCCGCGUGAGUGAUGAAGGCCCUAGGGUUGUAAAGCUCUUUCACCGGUGAAGAUAAUGACGGUAACCGGAGAAGAAGCCCCGGCUAACUUCGUGCCAGCAGCCGCGGUAAUACGAAGGGGGCUAGCGUUGUUCGGAUUUACUGGGCGUAAAGCGCACGUAGGCGGACUAUUAAGUCAGGGGUGAAAUCCCGGGGCUCAACCCCGGAACUGCCUUUGAUACUGGUAGUCUUGAGUUCGAAAGAGGUGAGUGGAAUUCCGAGUGUAGAGGUGAAAUUCGUAGAUAUUCGGAGGAACACCAGUGGCGAAGGCGGCGCACUGGCUCGAUACUGACGCUGAGGUGCGAAAGCGUGGGGAGCAAACAGG
rnacentral:rRNA from 1 species